UAGGGAAUCUUCCGCAAUGGGCGAAAGCCUGACGGAGCAACGCCGCGUGAGUGAUGAAGGUCUUCGGAUCGUAAAACUCUGUUAUUUGGGAAGAACAAAUGUGUAAGUAACUAUGCACGUCUUGACGGUACCUAUUCAUAAAGUCACGGCUAACUACGUGCCAGCAGCCGCGGUAAUACGUAGGUGGCAAGCGUUAUCCGGAAUUAUUGGGCGUAAAGCGCGCGUAGGCGGUUUUUUAAGUCUGAUGUGAAAGCCCACGGCUAAACCGUGGAGGGUCAUUGGAAACUGGAAAACUUGAGUGCAGAAGAGGAAAGUGGAAUUCCAUGUGUAGCGGUGAAAUGCGCAGAGAUAUGGAGGAACACCAGUGGCGAAGGCGACUUUCUGGUCUGUAACUGACGCUGAUGUGCGAAAGCGUGGGGAUCAAACAGG
rnacentral:rRNA from 1 species